rnacentral:ncRNA from 1 species
AACGCACAUUCGCGGAUCACCUUUCAUACCUCCCUGUUGGACUUCGGCCGAGCUUUGAGCUCGGCCUUUUUU